rnacentral:rRNA from 1 species
UACAGAGGGUGCAAGCGUUAUCCGGAGUUACUGGGCGUAAAGGGCGUGUAGGUGGUAAUGUAAGUCUGGCGUGAAAUUUUUCGGCUUAACCGGGAAAGGUCGUCGGAUACUGCAUCACUAGAGGACGGUAGAGGCGUGUGGAAUUCCCGGUGUAGUGGUGGAAUGCGUUAGAGAUCGGGAGGAACACCCGUGGGCGAAGGCGGUGGCCUGGACCGAUGCUGGACGCUGAGGCGCGAAAGCGUGGGGAGCGAUCCGG